rnacentral:lncRNA from 1 species
CACCAUAUUCCUUAUCCCUUUUGCUUUCUUCUUUGAAUGGUAUGCACAUCUACAACACAACUUAUAGCAUCGAUCAACAUGUAUAUGCAAUAUAUAUAUGUACCUAACUAGCAAGCUAACGAUAUGAAUUUUGAUUAUUAAAAGCAGGAAAACUGCACCUCCUUUGACCUUGGUGACCUUCUGCAAGAUCUUUUUCCUUUCUUUCCUGGGGUAUGUCCACACGCACACACAUAUAUAUUCAAUUGCUGCUAUUAUGAAAUUAGAUCCUAAUAUAUAUACCAAAGUUGGAGAGUACUGCUAUAAAUAUAAAGCUAGGUUUAAACUUUACGUUAUAUGUUCAAUUAAAAUGUGAUUCACAUG